GAAAGACCUUAUGCUUUUGGAGCGGCCGAUGUCUGAUUAGCUAGUUGGUAGGGUAAUGGCUUACCAAGGCGACGAUCAGUAGUUGGUCUGAGAGGACGACCAGCCACACUGGGACUGAGACACGGCCCAGACUCCUACGGGAGGCAGCAGUGGGGAAUUUUGGACAAUGGGCGCAAGCCUGAUCCAGCAAUGCCGCGUGAGUGAAGAAGGCCCUCGGGUUGUAAAGCUCUUUCAGUUGAGAAGAAAAAGUACGUGACUAAUAAUCAUGAUUCAUGACGGUAUCAACAGAAGAAGCACCGGCUAACUACGUGCCAGCAGCCGCGGUAAUACGUAGGUGCAAGCGUUAAUCGGAAUUACUGGGCGUAAAGGGUGCGCAGGCGGUUCUGUAAGUCAGAUGUGAAAUCCCCGGGCUUAACCUGGGAACUGCGUUUGAAACUGCAGAGCUAGAGUGCAGCAGAGGAGGUGGAAUUCCAUGUGUAGCAGUGAAAUGCGUAGAGAUAUAGG
rnacentral:rRNA from 1 species